GAAAAAAGGGUUAAGAAACUUGGCUGAAGAGCUGAAUGGCGUGGAGCGGCGAGGGGAGGGACUGGGCCGCGGCCGCCUCGGCGGCGGAGGGAGGAGCGCGGCUGCGGGCGGGCGGCGAGCGAGGCGCUCAAAGUCAGCCUCGCAGACAUUGCAGCAGAGCCCCGAACUCGGGAGGCGGCGGCGGAGGAGGAGGCGGCGGCGGCGGCCGAGGCGGAGGGACUACCCGGCCCCGCGCUCGCCCGCGCGCCCGCCCGUGGCCUCGCGUCGGCCGCUGCGCCCGGCAGCGCUGCCGAUCGGAGGGAAGAGCUCGCCGGGGCGCUGAGGGAGGACGGGGCAGCGGGGCGCCUUCGCGGAGUGAGCCGGCCGGAGCCCCGGCGCUCGGAGCCGCGGCGGCCUCUGAGAGUGCUUGGAUUGUGAGCGAUUUAAGAACUCUGUUCUCAGGACCCAUUACUUUAAUACUGGGGAGAAACACAUCCAGAAGGUAUGUAUUUUGCCUCAUUGCUCCACUUUUUAAAAUGUAGUUAAGCCUUUUCAGUUAUAGGAAAGAAAGAAUAUUAUGCCGUAUUUAGUUUAUGUUUCUUAUGCUUCAGAGAUUGUUAACUGAGUUGCUUGACAUUUGUAACAGAGAAGAGGGAUAUAUUUCAGUGUUGGUAAAUUCUGAAUUUUGUGUGAGUACAAGAAAUCUGGUUUAGAUGGAACCAGUUUUGCCUUUUUUAAACAUCUGAGAUACUUACAUUUUACCUUUUGAGCACAGUACUAUUUUAAAGAAUGUUUUGAUUUGAAAAUCAGUUGUAAAAAAUUCCCGUUUAUCUGAAACGGUGUGAAAUAUAUGUUAAAUAUUCAGGCAGUCUUAAAGUUCUUUGUGCCUACAUAAAGUUCUACCUUCUAGAAUAGGGACCAGCUGUCAUCUGUAUUUCCAUCAGUCUUUCAUCAGGGUCCAUGGAAAUAAACAACCAGGUCACCUGACUCCGCCUCUGAAC
rnacentral:lncRNA from 1 species